rnacentral:rRNA from 1 species
UACGGGGGGGGCAAGCGUUGUUCGGAAUUACUGGGCGUAAAGGGCUCGUAGGCGGCCACUAAGUCCGACGUGAAAUCCCCAGCUUAACCUGGGAACUGCGUCGGAUACUGGAUGGCUUGAAUUCGGGAGAGGGAUGCAGAAUUCCAGGUGUAGCGGUGAAAUGCGUAGAUAUCUGGAGGAAUACCGGUGGCGAAGGCGGCAUCCUGGACCGACAUUGA